CACGCCCUGCCCAUGGUCUCUGGGCCCUAUUUAAGCUCAUCCCAGGGCCCCUAUUUCUGUUUGUGCUACUGGGCUGUCGGUCUUCAGCCUUGCUGCUGCCUCCUUGGGCCUGUGCUGGAGUUGGUGUAUUCUGGAGAGCCCCUUGAAAGCAAAUAGCACCUUUUCCUCAUGAGCUGCAGGAUGAAUUGCUUGGGUCAAGGAGGAGCUCCCCAGACUGCUGUGUUGGUGCUAGCCCCUCUGCUUCUGGAAGAGCAUCUCUUCAUCCAUGCAGGACUUGAAAAAGUGCUCUGCAGGGGUCACCUGAGUGCUGGGACUGGAGGCACAGCCUGGCUGCGUCACCGAGGGAGCCGUGUCCCCGCUCCCAACCCAAGGAGACCUCAGGACUGGAGAACAGCUGCUCCUUGCCUCCCUCACCCCUGGGAGGCUGUGAGCCCAGCCCUGCCAAGCCAGACGUCAAACCCAGGCUUGGCAGCACCCGAGGUCAAGCGAGGUGGUCUCAACAGCUGUGUUCCUCUUCAGCUGCACCCUGUUGUACCAGCAGCGCUUGCUUGGUUUAAAGCUAGUGAAAAUUGUGUAUUUUUUGCCCCUUGCAUCUUUUCUUGGUGUUUUCAGGGUUAAGAGCUGUUGAAAAACAAUAUUCUUGCCACCCAGCCCCUUCUGCUCUGUCCCUCUGCUCUCCUCCACGUGCCUUGAGGCAGGUCUCAAGCCUGCCUGAAGCUGCCACGAGGACCAGGCUGUGCAAGGUGUCUCCUCUGCUGCGACCAAGAGUACUGACAACCACAGCCAGCUGAUUGCGAAGUAACCUCCCUCCCCAGCAGAUGCAGAUCAGCAUUUCUCCUUAAAUCAACUUUGUCCACGUAGAUCUGCAUCGCUGACCCUCUCUGAUCCUGCACGCUGCCGUUCCUGGAAAGCCUUGGGCGUUUGCCUGCUCUGCAGCCUUCAGCCAACCCAGCUUGGGUUGAGUUGCUUCCUUGUGGGGUGGAAACCUCCCUGAUCAGUCCUCCUGUCCUCCUUUCCUGGUGCCCUCAUCUUCUCUGUGCUGGAGCCUGCCCGGUGGAAUGGCUGCUGAGGGAGCUGGGCUGGUGGCACCCUCUGGUAGGUCCUUCUCCACGGGGAAAUUCCAGGUUGUUCUCCACGGAGAUGGUUCCUGUGGCGCACCGCCAAUGCUUAAUGCUCUCCGGAAGCUGCCACGAGGCUCUGGUGGUGGAUGCACAUUUGGGACUAGUCAAUACUUGGAAGCAUGACCGCAAAUACCAGCGGUACAUGAGAGGCGAUGUUUGCACUGCCUCGUGUUCCAUACAAGGAAUAAUCCUAACCACACGAAGGAGUGGGAGUUCGCUUGCCCUUAAAAUAGCCUCAGCACGUCUAGGAAAGCCAUAAAAUGUAUGCCCUGGUAUUUCUUUGGGCAUCAUUUUCAGCAGAUUUUAUUUAAUUUGCUGCCAACAUCUAUCAUUUCUGCAGCCUGCGUCUGAGCAGAGAGCUGGAGGUGUGCUGCUCGCUGCGCUCGACACGACCCGAUGCAACAAAUCGCUUUCUAUUAGCACGGCAUAGCAUCCUGACCGUCAAAGCAAAACGAGGAAAUGAAUUUGCUUGUAGAUGUUACAAAAUAUUUGUUUUAGAUUAGCUGCUAUCGCUGCUGCUGACCGUGUUUGCAGCUGUGUUCUGCUGCCCAACUUGUAGCUGGCAAUGGGAAGAUCUGCUGAGGUUGCAGGGCUCUUGGUGAGGAGCAAAUAGUCUGAGAAGCUGAGGAAUGAGAAACGAAGCAGAGCUAAAUUUAGAACCUCAGAUAGGGAAAUAUCUUCAGUGCUCCGUGGUUUUGUUUUGCUCUGCACAAAGCACACCUUGGUGCUGCGUGGCUGUUUGCAGAUUGCGCCGACUGAAAGAAGGCUUUUGCUUGUGGAAAGAAAAGGCUUUGAAGUAUUCAGUAAACAAAUAGCAGCACUAAAAGACCUGCAGUUCUUGUUAGUGAUGCAAACGGCGAUGUCUGAAGCAAAAUAAACAUCCCAAGGUUGAUGGAAGGGUAGGCAGGCCAUAAAGUGCCGUAGUCAGAUCCUUGAUGUGAGCACAUCAGGAACGUCAGAAGGGAAAGUGCUAUGAAAGGGCUGUCUUUGCUUUCUCCUUUUGGAUUAAAAAGAAAAUAACAAACUGGUGCGUGGUUUACCAGCCACCUGGCAGGAAUAGAUGACUAUAAAACCCUCUGGCUAAA